rnacentral:lncRNA from 1 species
CCCUCCUCUCUCUCUCUUGCUCUCUCUCUCGCUCUUUUACUCUGGGUGCUAAUCAGCAUUUGAAAGGCAGCUUUGACAGUGAGAAAGAAAGUAAGGGCCAGUGAGGAGGAGGGAGGGUAAAUGAAAGUGAGCGAGAGAGACUGAGAGUGAGUGAGAGAGUGAGAGAGCGCGAGAGCAACAGAGAGAGAGAGAGAGAGAAAGGAAGAUUGAGUGAGAGUGGAAGAGAGCGAGAGAGAGUGGGAGAGAGAGAGACUGAGGCAGGGGCUGUACAAGCAUGCCUUUUAUAUUUACUAGCAAUUGAGGAGGAGAGAGCGCGAGAGCAGCUGAGAGGGAAAGAGAGAAAGGGGUAGAGAGAGAAAGAGGGUGAAGAGACAACCAGUGUGCGCAGCUUUCCCAAGAGGAAAUGAAAAGAAAAGGGCUCUGCUGAGAGAAAGAGAAAGAGAGAGCGCAAGAGAGAGGGAAAGAGAGAAAGAGAGUGGGAAACAGAGAGAGAGAGAGAGAGAGAGAGAGCGCACGCGAGAGUGUAUACUCUGAGUGUAUCUGCUCAGUCAAGUCAUAUCUGAGAAGACUCUGAGCUGGAUGGUAGGGAAAUACUGAGCGUGUGUAUGUGUGUGUGAGAGUACGAAUGAGUGUGUGAGGGAGAGAGAGAGAGGAAAAGAGAGAGAGAGGGAGAGAACGAAUCAUAGGACUCUCCGCUGUUACUGACGCACACACACACUCACACACACUCACAGACACUCUCUCCACAGACACACACACACUCAGACAAACAGCGGACGCUCUUUUGUGUGAGCAGGUCAGGAUUGUUCUGCAUCCAGUCUGACCCCCCUCACCCCACCACCACCACCAUCGCCACCCCCAAGAGUGUGCUUAGUCGUUCGUGUGUGUUCAUGUGUCUGCGUGUGUGCAGGACCUGGAACGCAGGGGUCUUGCUUAGGGGGUCCGUCCGGGUCCAGGCAGGGGGCGUCCGAAGAAGAGGAGGAGUGUAUUCUGGCACAGCUGCUCAACACAAGACAUGCACAUCAGCCCCUCUGCGGGAGGUCUGGGUCUGACAUAGCCUCGGCCAGUCACAGCCUGCUUUAGAGGUGGCCGCAGGAGCGGCAGCACCAUGGCGGCCAUGCCGUUCGUCACCGAGGGGAAGUGUGUGAGUGUGGAGUGGGACUUCCUACAAGGACUCCUCGCCAAACCGCCCACCCUGCCCUGGUAAGUCAUGCACACACACUGAUUUAUUGCCAGAUUGAUGCAUAGAGUAAGUAGAAGU